GAUGAACGCUGGCGGCGUGCCUAAUACAUGCAAGUCGAGCGAACAGAUGAGGAGCUUGCUCCUCUGACGUUAGCGGCGGACGGGUGAGUAACACGUGGAUAACCUACCUAUAAGACUGGGAUAACUUCGGGAAACCGGAGCUAAUACCGGAUAAUAUAUUGAACCGCAUGGUUCAAUAGUGAAAGACGGUUUUGCUGUCACUUAUAGAUGGAUCCGCGCCGCAUUAGCUAGUUGGUAAGGUAACGGCUUACCAAGGCAACGAUGCGUAGCCGACCUGAGAGGGUGAUCGGCCACACUGGAACUGAGACACGGUCCAGACUCCUACGGGAGGCAGCAGUAGGGAAUCUUCCGCAAUGGGCGAAAGCCUGACGGAGCAACGCCGCGUGAGUGAUGAAGGUCUUCGGAUCGUAAAACUCUGUUAUUAGGGAAGAACAAAUGUGUAAGUAACUAUGCUCGUCUUGACGGUACCUAAUCAGAAAGCCACGGCUAACUACGUG
rnacentral:rRNA from 1 species